GUAGCAGAGUGUUAUUUACUCUGUGGAAGGAGGCUGAACCACAUCGAUGUCUAAGGCCUGAGAUGCUGCCGGAGGCCAUGUUGAUGUGCGCCAUGCUGCCACUGGGGGCUGUGCCUGGAUCGUGUUCCUACUGCAGUUUCCCCGUGGCCUGUGUUAGCACCGAUGUCUCUGUCUGUGCUGCCGCCUGAAGCUGCGAGCUGUGAUGCUCCAGCGGGGUUCAUGGAAAUGUCCCCUAACCUGUACAUGAGAAGCAGGAGAAAGGAGAAGUACACCUGGCAUCCAGAAGCUGCCCAGAUGCUCACAAGCACAGCCAUGAAGUUCUCUGUGGGACAGAAACCAUCUCAGAAAGACAACCUCGAACAAUGCGACCCUGAGACUAAAAGAGAUGAAGCACACCAGGUACGGUGGUGGCAGCCCGAAAUCCCGGCACUUGGGAAGUGAAAGCAGGAAGAUCAGGGGUUCAAAGUCCUCCGCAACUACACGGAAAGUUUGAGGUCAUCAAACUUCAAGAGACCUCAUCUCAGAGAUAGAUGAUAGACGGUCGGACAGACGGACAGACAGGCAAUUAACCAACAAAUAAAUAAGAUGAAGUUGGUCGCAUCA
rnacentral:sRNA from 1 species